ACCAGCCACCCACCACCGCUCACUCCCAGCUCUCACCGCCCACUCUCUCCUCCUACUCGUCGGCAGCGAUGGCCAUGGGUGGCGGUUGCCUUUCCAAGAGCCAGCGCCUCUCGCCCCCGUUGGGCCCGCACCGACGCGAACUUCAUCCCUGCCCCCGCCGCACCGGUGCCGUGCAGUUCGGGAUGGGCUCCAUCCCGGAUGCCCCCGGGAUCCCGUUCCGCGCCGUGGAGACCCGGCCCACCCCGUGCUCGCCCGGAUGGCGCUGAAGGACGCCGGUGAGAUGAAUAUGGGGAACCCCCGCGGUGGACCACGACGGCUUCUUCUUCGCCACCGAGCUCCAGGCCAUCGUCCGCUGCCACCCUCGCUGCCGCGGGCCUCGAUACAGGGGAUUCUGCCGAAGUAUUUCAGCUCAGAGUGGUCAUUUGCUUGGAUCGAUUUACCAGAAGUCUUACAUCUUAACUUUUGGUGCUCAGAACAUUGUACUGAUUCUUGAUGGCAGCGCAGAGCAAAUCCAUGAGGUUGAUGUAUUCUUUUGUAGAACAAUACAAAGGAUGAAGGAAAUCGGCAGAACAAUAUCACGGAAAGAUAAUAACUAUAUAGCCGCUUGAUGCAGGUGACACCAGGACAGUUCCAACAGAGCAGAUUCAUUGCGUAUGGCGGGGCUGCUCCACUGCAGCCUCCGCCUGAUCCGCUGAUCUCAAGGGAAUAAGGUUGAGUUCCGUCUUCUGCUUCUUAUAAGAAUCAUUGUUCCCUUCUUCAUACAUCUGACACAAAGUUGUACCUAGAUCGCUUGUAUUCAGAUUGUUUCCACCCAAGACAAUGGCCUUACUGUUGUUGUCUAGCUUCAUCUUCAGUUCUGUGUUUGUGGCUGUCCCUUUGGGUCUAUAUACCUUUGUUUGCUUCCUUUUUUGCCCAGCAACACGUAUAUCUGUAGACACUGAAGUAAAAGGUUCCUUACUCGCCGUGCCCUGUUCCACCUUAUUAUUUAUUUUUUGAUUCUGCAUCUUCAGCUUCAUGGGAGACGUGACUACGUUUCUCUCUUGCAAUUCAUCAGCUUUUGGUUCGACAAUAUUGGCUUUAGCAGAGGGGUGGGAUCCCCCUUUUUCGUCAUCACAGUGUGAACAUCUGCCACUUGAUUGUGAACUUUGCGUUGAUCUGGAACCUGAAAAGCUCUUCUUCUUAUCAUCAUUUACACACAGGGAGCUUACCCAGCAUCCCUCUCACCUGGUGUUGGGCAUUCCAUAGAAGAGUGUCCCAGCAAGACACAUGGGAAGCAGUAAUGUGGAAGCCUCUCAUACACUACCUCAUAAGUGUCAUAUUCUUGGUGCUUUUUGGAAUAUAAGCUGUAACCCACCUUAACAGACAGUGGCGGACCCAGGAAUUGAAGCUAGCCGGGGCGAAUAUUUAAGGUCAAUUUUUUUGGAUGCAAAUACACGUGUACUGAACCAAAAGUCAUGGCAUUCAACUACUAAAGUCAUGAAAAGGCAUAAAAAGUUAUUAGAAACCA